rnacentral:pre_miRNA from 1 species
AAACCGCCCCCUAAGUUUUGCAACUGUUGUAGUUUUGGCCCACAAAGGCCAAUUUUUGGUAAAAAAUAACACGUGGCACCUCACUUAGGGUGUCACGUCAGCGUAGACCGAGUCAAAAUUAGCCUUGGGGGUCAAAACUGCCAUAAAUGCAAAACUUAUGGGGCAGUUU